rnacentral:lncRNA from 1 species
CUACGUACGGUGCCUCGACGCCAGCGCCGCCGUUCAGGGUGGUGCCAUCUAUUGACCGCCCCCGCGCCGCCGCUUUCUCGUUGCGACGCCAUCUUGAAUGACAGCGAGCGGUUGCGAUUGCUUGGUGCCAGUGCUUAGUUCGAGGCAAAGUGGGCGCGGAUGCUUCGCUGACGCUCCUACUUGCUGGACAGUGUUCAACCGCAUGACUGACAAGCUUGUCAAGUGCAUCGAGUCGACAUGACUGGCUGUUGUGUUCCCGCAAGUGCGCCUGAUCAACGCGUGAAGGGCUUCGUUGUUUUCGCUUCCCCCGGGACCCAGAGCGAAGGAAGAGAUGGGAAGCCCAAGUAAAGCGGGAUCACUAGAAGGCAACGGAUAGCUCUUACAUUUGUGAGAAACACGUUGAAAAGUACCAGUACGAGGUAAAUCGACAGGAUGGGUGCAGUCUGUUAAAGUCAACAGCCCUGCCCACGCUGUUUCAAUUUCGACCUCGGCCUAAGCGAAGACCUCGCAGGAGGUCUUCUUCGCAUGUGUACUUGCAGGUACGGAAAACAACCCUUCCCCAAGUAUUGUUCCAGAAGUUGACCUUGACGGCACCGCAGAAGUCAGUCGAGAUAGUAUCUCCUCUUUGGAAGAAACUGCAGUAGAGCGUGAGUGUAAUGAGGGCAUAUAGCUUUCGCCACGUGAGCUACGAAAUGCUCCGCAAG